CGGACGGGUGAGUAACGCGUGGAAAACCUGCCGUAUACUGGGGGAUAACACUUAGAAAUAGGUGCUAAUACCGCAUAAGCGCACAGCUUCGCAUGAAGCGGUGUGAAAAAUUCUGGUGGUAUACGAUGGUUCCGCGUCUGAUUAGCUAGUUGGUGGGGUAAUGGCCUACCAAGGCAACGAUCAGUAGCCGGCCUGAGAGGGUGAACGGCCACAUUGGGACUGAGACACGGCCCAAACUCCUACGGAAGGCAGCAG
rnacentral:rRNA from 1 species